CGUCUCCAGUCCAUACACACACACACACACUUGCUGCUCCUCGCUUUAUACUUGCCCUCCCAGUUAUCUGUGAGUGCUGUUGCCUGCUAGCUACGCCAGCACGGGCACGCGUAUAUCAUCGCACCCCACCCCACCCGUGCCGUGGCUCUUCGUGUGCGUGUGUGGCCCACCUCGCUCUUGAAGCAGACACACACAGGGAGAGAGAGCGAGGCGCGGUCGCACACGGCGGCUGCUCGCCCACACCCUAUUAGCACCUGGUGCUUGCCUCCCCCCCCCGGAUCCCUCCUUCCCGCCUGGCCAAGUCGUCACGAUGGAGGAUGAUGCCGCGGCCGAGACAACCUCGAUCGAUUUCUCCUUAGCCCCGUCGAAUGGCAGCGGUGAUGUGGCUGGUGGCAGCCCCACGGAGUCGCCGCCCAGCGACGACAACGAGAUUAUGCGAGCCGGCCGUGGUGAUGUGCGCCACCCGAUGCCCGCCAUACAAGUACCGAAGCCGACACGGCCACAGCCGCCCACCUCGCCGGCCCCGUUCGGAGAUGAAGCGGCAGAUGGCGGUGCACCAUUGCCGGUCGCCUCUCCUGCCUCGGCGCACGUGGCAAAGCCCAUCACGCCUUUCCAGGCAAUUCGACCGGCAGGGCUGCGGCGCAAGGGCCACCUCGCCCGCCCUUCCCUGAAAAGAGAUGCGAGCCUUGAUUUUGUGCGAGCUGUACAGCAGCUCGACUCGGAGGACUUCCAGAGAUCUCGGAGUCGCAGCUCCGACAGCGAGGGCCUCGACGACGACAGCAAUCACAGCGGCAACGGCGCCAGUGCCAAGCGACGAUGUCGGCAAGGUGCCGCAGGUGAUGCCAUCAACGAGGGUGAACGAACGACCCAGGCGUGGGCGCAGUCACCGUCGCCGACGGCCCCAUCUCGGCAGCUGCUUGUGCCACCGCAGCAGCCAACGAGAGCGAGCAACGUGACGGCGACCACCAACACCCUCAUCGCCACCACCGCAGACGAGACUAUAAACUUCGAGGCAGAGAAGAAUGAUGACGCGGAUGAUACGAUGGCGGCGCCGGUGGUUGCUGCCGCGCCGGCGUCCCGUACGAGUGCCGUCGAACAAGCGGCACUUCCACUACCCCAAGAGCAGCACCAGCGUCCUGGCACGGCGCUGACGCCUUCCACGAAGGCGAGAGCUACUGCGCACGAAUCACCGCCGCCGCUGUCAUCAACAACGACGGGCACAGCGCCUUCGAAGGAUAUAUCGGGACCGAAACCGCAGACGCCGACGUCGCCACCCGCGCAACAGCCAAGGAAUGAGCAGCGGCGGUCCUCUCCUUCGUGGUCGCGCCAUACAAGCCCUGGCUACACCGUCUCCGCGGCCACGGCAGCGACGACCACGGGCGCAGCCGACAUCGUCGGUGCAACGCUGCCCACGGCAUCGCCCGCGAGCCCUGGGCGCAUUGCGUUACCCGAUGCGGGCCCGCAGCACCACACGCCGCACCUGAGGUUGCUGUCCAGUAGCAUGCAGAACGAAGACGACCCGAUGUACUGCACCGUGAGCGAGAUGACGAUGGCGAAUCCGGUGACGCCGCGCGGCGGCGUCUCGCUGCCACUUUUGGGUCUCAGCACGGGCCUCCAGCAGGCCCGUGGCGCCUCUGGGGGAAGCCUGUACCUCUCCCCUGUCCGUCCUUCGUUGCGGCCAGCCGCGGCAAGUCGCCGAGUGCAGUCUUCAGACUUCUCACUCGAUGAGUCCAACGCACUCCUGACGCUGAACACGCCUCGCGAGGUCGUGAAGUCGGCGACAGCGGCGCCCAAGGAAUCAACAUACUUUCGAGACGCAGCCUUUGAGGACGGCGCCGAGCUGGCGUCGACGUCGACGCCGUCCCAAAGCAUGCUGGGCCUGCAUGGCAAGCCCCUGCCCAGUUUCGUCCAGCCGGCUCUGGUGAAGCGAACGGCCGAUGGCCGCACGACCGCGGGCGACGGUCGCCUCUCUCAGCCAGCGCCACCACGGCAGCUGCAGCACCCCUCUGCCCCGCCGGCAAUCAUUGCAGAGCUCAAGCGCCACGCAGAGCGUGAGAAGGAGGACGAAAAGGAGCACACCCUGAGACCGACGAGCACUCCGUCGCCGCGAGAGACUCGGGUCGGUGGCGGAGGCGCUCAUCGUGAGCACAGGAGCGCGUCCUCGAUCUUCAAGUCCUUCCCCUCCAAAACCAUCUGCGCCACAGUAGGAGCUCCGUAGCAGCCAAGUCGGGCGUCGACAAGCAUGGCGAAGGCGGUGGCGAGGGUCGAGAUGUCAAGACGAGCGGUCGCAGCACCAGCUCCAUUCAAUCCACCCGCAGCAGCAGCCUCGCCUCCGGCCUGUCGCGGCUGUCCUCCAUGUUCAAGCGACUGGUCAGCGGGGCCGGACACGGGAGUGUAGAUGUCAAAACACAGCGGCCACUUCAACCGUCUUCGUCGUCGUCACAGCAGCAGCGACGAACUCGCCAGCACGAGGACAACGCCGCCACAACCACUGCCGUCGCGGCAUCGCUGCAGAUGUCGACGCUGGGGAACACCGUGAAGACCACCGACAGCAGUACCAACCUCCGCUCCGCUGACACGCUGGUCGGAUGCAAGCAGAGGCAGCCACCGCCGGCCGUCACCCCCGCAGCGGCAUCAGCAACCGCGGUCAAGCCAGGACGCGCGACGCCGAAACGCGAGAUAACGAGCUCGUGGCACGGCGACUCCAUCAACUUCCCCACGGACGAAGAGGAGGAUCGAGGGCGGGGCGAUGGCGUAGCGGGGGUGGCGCCACUGAUACCACCAGCCGCAGCAGCGCCAGCAGUACCUGUAGAGGUGCGAGUGGCGGUGCUGAGGAGAGUAAGGGGCGGCGUAAGAGGAAGGACGCGGAGCGCCCUGACCGUCGUCGGCGGCGGCGACGUCUUCAUGACGCGGAAGCGCAAGAUGGCGCCUCGUUGUCAGCAUCGGCAGCAGGAGGCGAUGAUCGGCGCAGCAGUGGCAGCGGCAGUGCCGGUGACGUCGACACCUCCUCCUCGUCUACGCCCUUGACAUCCGCGUCGGGCGCUGAAAAGCCUCGUCGCCGGUGCAGGGAAAGAGGGCGACGGAGCGGACCACGGCGGCAUCGGCACCGACGCGAGGGGCGAAAACAACAGAAGGAACAAGCCAACGGUGUGUCGAAGUUUCUUCAGGACCGCCCAUCCUCCCCGACACCGCCGCUGAAGUCGCAGUCCUCCGACAGAUCCGCAAGCAGCGACGGCCGACUAGAUCGCAGCAGCCGGCGCCUGUCACAACGGGGCUGCUGUCAACGUUGCGACGCCAACGAUCGCGGCCUUGCCGCCAGUGUUAAGGCUUUGGCUAGCCGGAAAGCGAGCCAGUGGCACUAUCGGCGUGCGCUGCGUGGCGACGGCGAAUCAUCGCGCACCUUCCGACGCCCUUGCGAGGGUGCGCGGCAUCACAAUGCCACCAACGACAACUCUGACCGAGGCGACCCCGACGGUUCCUCCAGCAGGGACUGUCACGGUGACGCGGUGCCGCCGCUGCCGCCGCCGAUAGCCUCUGCCGCUAUUCUCGCAGCGCGACGUCGCGAGCUGCGCGCGAAGUCGCGCGUCACCUCCUCAGUGAACCACUUCGCCGUGUCGUGGCGCACGCGUCCAGCGACACGGCAUCGGCAGGAGCUGCUGAGCCAUGCCGGUCGAGCAAGCCUUGCCCGGCUGCCGAAACGCGAUGCGGAGCGGAAGAGCGGGUCCGCGAAGGCGGCAGUUGUGGCCGCUGAGGCGGUGGCGGCGUCACGCCGUGCGUCUGGGUCGCAACUGUGGGCCGGCUCACGGCGGUCCGCGGUGAAGUCGCGUCAGAGCGGCACGGCACCGUUCCCGCCACGCCCGCUCACCCCCGGUCGGCUGGAGCAGUACGAGGCAGCCCUAAGACGCGAUAUUCGCGAGCUGGACGUCAUUGUAGAGGAGCGACGGCGACGCGAGCUUUGGGCGGCGGCGAGCCCGGCGGCGGCGGCGGCGGCGGCGGCAGCAGCGGUGGCAACGCCGUCACGCCAGCCAUUGCGCGGCGCUGAGCAGCGCCGCGCAAUGGCGACCCCCGCUCUCACUGCUGGGCCGCUGCCAUCUCGCGUGGGUAUCACCACCGUUGCCACUGCCUCGACGCCGGCCCCCACGAGAAGGUCAAGCGCAGGCAACACCCGUGCCGCACACCGUUGCCACGGCCCGAUAGUCUCAGCGCGUCUCAGCCAUCCCAACGACUACGGCAGCAGUAAGGCCAAUGAGGUGGAGUCUGCGGCGGUGGAUGGACGCGGCGGCAGGGACGACUCAUCACCUGCGCCGCACACGCCACGUACGGCGACAGCAGCCGGAGUGCGUGGGCAGCCGCAGCAGCGGCCUAGUGCUAGCGCCUCCUAUACCUCCCACACCUCUAAGGCGGACAGCGUGUUGGCUGCAGUGCGGAGGCCGGGUGCGACGGAUAGCGGCAACGACGACGCCGAGGCAGCCCCGCACCACUCGAGCUCGACGCAGCUGCCAGGCGAUGCAACAUGCUUCGCCAUGAUGGCAUUGCAGCGCAGAUACGAGCAGUUACUCGAAGAUCUCGUGGCACAGUCAGCACCGCAGCCCCCUGCAACGUCCGAGAUCGACGAAGGUGGCAACGCCACGGAUGAUGAGGUGUUCAUGAAGGCGCACUGGCGGCACAACUACAGCGCGCGUCGGCAUCAGUAUCCUCAUCAGCACCUCAGCCGAGAGCAAGUCGAGGGAGAACGCAAUCGCGGAGUUGCUUCCUCGUCCUCUACGCGAGGGAGGCGAUCUGCGCCGGCACCGACGCAGGUCGAUGCAACGAUGGAGGCUGAGGUGGCGCGCUGUGCCGCGGCGCUGCGGGCCGAGUACUACCAACCACCGCAGCGCCAGCAAAACCAGCAGCAGGAGCCGUCGACGAUCAUGGAGCGGGCGUCUCUCCCUCAUGCAACGCACGAAGCGGGUGCCGACACCGCCUCGGUGGCGCAUGUGGCAGCCUCGUACGCGCAGGCGCUGCGACCGUCGUGCGCCGCCUGCCGUCCGCAACAGCUGAACGAGUACAUGACCUUGGGGCUGCUCUCGAUGAUGCACAGGGGCGCCGACGAGUGUGUUGACACGGCUGCUGUUGCUGCGAGUGAGAACGCGGCCAAUCUGCGGCAGGCUCACGCGCGGCCAGUCACGGCACCCACGCUCGUGCAGCGGCGUAUACGCGAAGACCUCUACGCCGCCCCUCGGCGCUGUUCACGUCGCCGGAUGACGCAGGCAGGCGGAAAGCAGAAGGCUGCCUGCUCCGACGGCAACACUGCAGCAGCCCCGCCGAUCACGUCAGUCUCGGCCUCGUGCGGUGCUGUUCUGUCGUCGAUGCACGCGCAGAGCGCGGACGCGGCGGCGGCGGGCCGCGACGUCGGCUUGUCGCCGCAAGCUGGAACGGCGCCCUUGCCCCCGGCGCAGCUAACGCACUUCUUCACGCCUACCCCAGUGGUCAUCGACGGUGCCUUGCUCACAAGGCUGAUGCGGCGGGAGCGCCAUGCACGACGCGAGCGCGUUUCGAAGGAGCAGGAAGCAAGGCACACACUUCAGCGGCUCUACAUUGUGGAGACCAUACUGGUAUUGCGUGCCAUGGGUAAGGCGGCGGCGAUGCAGGAGCAAGAGGCGCCAGCGGCACCGGCGCUGCCAACGAGUCAGACCCUAGGCGGCGCUGCGACGGCACCCGUCAACGACAGAGGCGGCAAGAGGAGCGGCAGUCGCAGUCCGCUGGCUGCAACACGAAGCAGCAGAGACGCGAGCGUCGAGGACGACGGCGGUGCUGCUAGAGAGCCUGUGGUAGCAACCGUAUCCGUGUCGCAGCAGCCGCGUGAAGAGGCCUCUGCGAGCGAAGAGGAACACGCUGCUGCGGCUGCUGUUGUCGUGUGUGGCGACGCCGCCGCCGCGAGUGCGCCGCUGCCAAUGGGCGACACCACGGCGCAGCCGCUUGCCGGGGAUGCGUCGGAGAUGCGAAAUGAAGUAGAAGUCGCCACGGGGGAGCGCGAUGCGGACGACAGCUCGUCUUCGUCGGCUUCGCCAGCGGUGCUGGUGACACCGUCGCCUCAGGCAGCUGCUGCCACGGAGGUUGGUGGCGAAGUCAAGCACGCUAAGGACCACGGCGGCGAUGUCGAUCUCGCAGAGAGCAGCAGCAGCAACCGCAGUGCCUCAUCAGUGCUGUCCUUUCACGUAGAAGACAGCCAGGAAGGAGCUGCCCUGCAGCACCCCGGCCCUGGCGCUGACGGCGCAGAUAAGGGCCAUUACCCCGUGGUGGCGUCGGGCAGCUCAGCUGCGGCCAUCCCCGCCGCUGCGGCGCAGCUGUCCUCGGACGAGUCUACCUCGUCAGUAACCGCGGCCGUGGAUGACCUAGCUAUACCGCCCACUGCGUCGCCGCAGGCGGCCCAGGCACGGCCCUUGUCAAUCGACAGAGGCGAACCUAUCACUGACAGCGACCGUCACGGCACCCUUGACGAUAUCGACGGCGCCGCCGGCACGGUGGACUACGCACCCGAUGGCCACGCUGCUGCAAGUCCACCCUCUGCGGGGAAGCACACCAAUGCAGCGUCCCACCGAUAUCCUCCGCCGGUGCCGUCAUCGUGUUCCGCCGCCUCUGCAGCAUCGUCCUCGCCAUCCCGCAACCUGCAUGUGGUCGAAGUCGUGGAAGCUGCACGAGCAGCGGUGCUUGUGCCAGAAGGCGAGGGAGCCGUCGAUGCAUCGCAUAGCACAGGCGAUGCGGGUUCUACAGGCGUGGAAGUAGUGGCCCGUGACGCCCUCCAGAGCUCAGUCACGCCCGUCGAGGCGACAGCCAGUACGGCCCUAGCAUCGGCUGCUGCUGCAGAGGCGAUACCGGAGUCUGAGCCACCAGCGAGCGCCGAAGACGACCCGAGGCGGGCGCUGGAGGGCCCACAACCGUGGAAAAGAGAGCAGCGGCAGCAGCAGAAAAUGGCCACCGUCACUACAUGCACCGCUGUGCCGGCCUCGCCGCGCCGUGUGCGCUUCUCCCUUCAGCCGGAGGUGGUGAGCGGCGACGAUGGCGAGGUCAAGGAAUUUAGCGAUGCAUCGAAGCAGACGUGCUGGGAGGGGCGAGAGACGUCGCACGCAGCCGGUGGGCCGCAGACGAUGACACCUGAGCCCUUCAAGCGCGCCGCCGUCGACAAGGAUGGCCUCGCUAUCGAUCUCUUGGAGAAGCUCAACGGUCUGGAUGCACUACUUCUCUACAGCUUCCCAACCUACUUCACCACCGGCACAGAUGAAGACGGCCUCCCCGGCGUCGUUAUGCGCCCCCAUCGGCACCCGCCGUCAGCCUCGCCCUCAGUGCAGCCGCGGUGGUGGCGCUCACCUUUGGCGUCGACGCCGUUCGUCUCGCCUCGGCCGCUGCAGCCAUAUCGAUCGGCACCAUCGCGGCACCUCUCGGACAGCAUGUCUCCACUAGCAGAGGGGCGCGAGACGCCACCGUCGUCCGCAGCAGACGCAGCAGCGGCAGACGCGUCGCCGUUCGAUGCGCACGCGAGUGCCCUUCGUGGCCACCGCACGCCGCCGCGGCUGCCGCCAGAAAGUCUAGCGUCGCAGCUGCGCCGCAAGUACGGUCUGCCCCAGCCGGUCCAGCAACGUCGCCACGAUCACUCUGCGGAAUUCACGCUGGGCCUUCCCGCAACAGCAACACCGAGUGUAGCUGCGGCGGCCCCAACGCCACCGUCCGCAUCUGUGUCGGGCUCAUGGCCGUCGGCGGUGCCCGCUGCGGAACGUCCUUCCCUGCAGGAGGGCAUCGACACCCCUCACCUUGCGGUGCGGCGCUCAGUGUGGUUCUAAAGCAGGCGUGAGCACAUCAAGCCGCCCUAAUGCCUGUGUGCCUGCCUGCGCAGAGGCCCCACCCUCCCUCCUCCGCCCGUCCGUGCGCCCAUCCGUCCCCUUGCUUCCACUCAACAGGAUUCGACGGAUGGCGCUGCUGCACCGAUGCCGAGCCCGCAGCCGCUCAGUCGCUCUCCCCGUUGCCUACGCCAGCCGCACCUGCACAUCGGGGCCGGUACACACGGCACAAGGUGCAAGACCGAGUCGCGCUGUGCACGGCUCCCUCGCUGCUUCGCUUGCCCUUCCCGCACCUCUUCUUAGAAGCACCGCCUGAGCGCAGCCCGCAUCCACCGAGGCACGAUGGUCGAUGUCGUCGUCGCCGCUGGCUCCAGCGUGUCACGGGUGCGCGCGGAGGCACCCGGCACCACCUCCUGCCCCACCUACGCAGACGUACACGUCAGGAAGAACCAUCGCGACGUGUGCAGGUGAUGAUGACCCCUCUUCCCUCUUGCCCCCCUCCCCUCUGCACAUCCUCGGACGUCGGCAGCACCUGCGCGAAACGCGUCACUCGAGCACGGCCUCAUUGCGUCCAUCGACGAUGAGUCGCUGCAGCAGCAACGGCAGCCGCCCAAGCGGCAAUCCUCCGAGUAGCCUGUUGCUUCCGGACAACCCCCAAGGAGGGGCUGGCUGCGCGCUUUACCGAGACCUGCGAAGGGGGGGGGUGGCACAGCCCGGCAACCUUGGCACCCUCACCAUCGGCUGGGACAUCAAGAGCAGCCAGACCAUCGCCACCGGCAGCAGUCACACACUUUUCCGCUGAGCAGCGUCGCGUCUACGCAGACACGCAGCAGCGAGUCGUGCGGCAGCGGUUUGGUCAACAAGAAGCCGCUUGAGUUGCAGCAGGCUGUACGCGCUGAGUUGGAGCGUGCGGUCACGGCAAGCCGAGCAGGUCCCAGCAUACGCAAGCAGCCGGUGCGCACGCCCGUCGACGUUGGCGAUUGCGUUCUCUUUAUUCGUGGUGUGCGCCGUGGCAGCCGCGAGGACAUCCUCCCGCUCGAAGCUGCAUGACAACCCCGAGCAUCAGAGUGGAAGAGGAGGGCGGAGGAGCUGAUGCGCGGGUCCGUGGUGUGAGUGAAACAGGUGUAUGCGCCGGUGCCGCUGCCACGCACGCACACACGUACGAAGCCCCCCUCCCUCCCUCCCUCAGGUGAGCCAGGUGGCAGCACCGUCGCCCCAUACCCGACCGAUUGUCCCUUUACUGCCUUACAUUGUGUUCCGUACCUGCUUCUCACACACGUGCGGCGGCGCGUAAGCGGCGUGCGGCGUUCGCGGGUGUCCGCUGCUGCUGGUCGUAGUUGUGGCCAUUGAAGAGAGGGAGAUGGUGGGCCUCUGGCACCGCACCUUCACCGACGUCGCGUUGGGCUGCGGCCUUUCCUUGUUCACCUUUGGCUCUCCGACACGCACCACGACCACCGCCGCCACGCUCAUCAUCCACCGCCCUCGCCAUACUCCCUGCGCAUGUCAUUGCCCACCCGACGCACAGGCGUGUGUGUCGCGUGACCACAUGUUGUGAGCAUCGGUUCCGCCAAUACUCUCCAGUUGCAACGAUGAGGAAAGAGAAAAAGAGGGAGAGAUCGCGCGUGCACGUCUGCCUUGUCUUCUGUAAGCCUUUUUUUUCCUUCUCUGUC
rnacentral:misc_RNA from 1 species